CCGAGAUUUUGUGUCCAACAGGUGAAUUACAGCAGAAGGUGAUUCACUCAAUCCAACCAGGAGACUGGGUGUGGAUCCAGUCCCUGAGGACAAAAGAACUGGAAGCAGCCACAGUGGGAGGGGCCAUACCAAGUGCUCCUGGUAACAGCCUUUGCGAUAUGUCAGGAGCAUGAGGACGCAGACACCCCGUUAUCCUGGGAGUGCGAUGGCCGCCUUGAUCGACUACAUUCAGCGCAGAGACUAGGAGGGGGUAGCUGCUGUGUCCAGGCCCGCCGCAGCCAGCACCACCCCCGCCAGCACCACCCGGCCCAAGAGCUUCUUGGUCCUGCGAUCUCUGCGUUCCUUUCAAGGCGCGCUCUCGCCCCUGGUGAACUGCAGGCGAAGAUGAAGAAAUAGGGGUGUCUUUCCCUCGACCAGCACUGCCACCAACAGAUCAAUCGGACGCAGAGCUGGUCAAAGCUGCUGCUGACAUAGACACAUGUAUGUUUUUACGUCACUAUUAAUUGACAUAGGAAAUUCGAUACGUUUUGAUAAGUAUUCAGUUAAAGUUUGCUGACAUAUUAAAGUGUGUUAAAUUUGUCGCUAUCGUCAACCCAAGGAAAUGUAUUGGUAAGAGUCAUCUGGGUUUAGAGAAGAGUCACUGCAUGUAUGAACUAUUAACUGAAUCACUGUUAUCUUCAUUUGUAAUAUGUCUGUCCAUUCAUGCUUGCAUUUAUUUUAUUUAUUAAUUCAUUCAUUUAACCUAUUUAUUUCUGUCACUGCAAAAGCCGUAGCCCUACAGGUCCCCCGAUCGCUCCCGCGGCCUCUGCCCCCAACUGACCAAGCCCCGGUUCCUGCCCCGGUUCCUAUAAUUACUCCACAUUGUUAAGAUAUUAAACACUAUACCAAAUUGGACAGCUAGCGUCCCACAUACCCCAGAGAGGUUAACACUAGUAUAUAGAUUCCUAAAAACAGUAGUGCAACACUAAAUCAAUGACGAUAUAAUUUUCAAUUGUCUUUUUUUUGUACAUUUGUGGACAUUUGCGAACAUGUGCAUGGCUCCCGUUGAUGACCUCACAGCAUUAACACAAUUUAGAAAAUAAAUACAAUAGUUCACUCUUAAAAGUAGUGUAACACAUCUCAAAAUAGCCUUAAAACAAUUAUAAUAAAUAUGAGGGAUUUUCGAUGAA